rnacentral:piRNA from 1 species
CAUGGGCCUUUGCAGGAUAC